rnacentral:rRNA from 1 species
AUUGAACGCUAGCGGGAUGCUUUACACAUGCAAGUCGAACGGCAGCGCGGACUUCGGUCUGGCGGCGAGUGGCGAACGGGUGAGUAAUGUAUCUGAACGUGCCCAGUAGCGGGGGAUAACUACGCGAAAGCGUAGCUAAUACCGCAUACGCCCUACGGGGGAAAGCCGGGGAUCGUAAGACCUUGCACUAUUGGAGCGGCCGAUAUCGGAUUAGCUAGUUGGUGAGGUAACGGCUCACCAAGGCGACGAUCCGUAGCUGGUUUGAGAGGACGACCAGCCACACUGGGACUGAGACACGGCCCAGACUCCUACGGGAGGCAGCAGUGGGGAAUUUUGGACAAUGGGGGCAACCCUGAUCCAGCCAUCCCGCGUGUGUGAUGAAGGCCUUCGGGUUGUAAAGCACUUUUGGCAGGAAAGAAACGUCGCGGGCUAAUACCUAGUGGAAUUGACGGUACCUGCAGAAUAAGCACCGGCUAACUACGUG